rnacentral:rRNA from 1 species
GACGAACGCUGGCGGCGUGCCUAAAACAUGCAAGUCGAACGAGGUCUUCGGACCUAGUGGCGAACGGCGGAGUAAUACAUAAGUAAUCUGCCCUGAAGUCGGGGAUAUACAGAGGAAACUCUGGGCAAUACCCGAUGUGGCUCUUGGAAGGCAUCUUCCGAGAAUUAAACGGUUUUUCGCUUCAGGAGGAGCUUAUGACACAUCAGCUAGUUGGUGGGGUAACGGCCUACCAAGGCGACGACGUGUAGGGGGUCUGAGAGGAUGAUCCCCCCGAGUGGGACUGAGACACGGCCCACACACCUACGGGUGGCAGCAGUUGGGAAUCUUGCACAAUGGGGGAAACCCUGAUGCAGCGACGCCGCGUGGAGGACGAAGGCCUUAGGGUCGUAAACUCCUUUUGCACGGAAAGACUUAGGACGGUACCGUGCGAAUAAGCCCCGGCUAACUACGUGCCAGCAGCCGCGGUAAU